AUUCCAGCUCCAAUAGCGUAUAUUAAAGUUGUUGCAGUUAAAAAGCUCGUAGUUGGAUUUCUGGUGAGUUCGUUUGGCCGGCCGUAAAGGUCUGUGCCGAAAUGUUAUUCGCCAUCCUUGGUGUAAUCUUGUCCGCCAUUAAGUUGUGUGGGCUUGAGGAUGCCAUCGUUUACUGUGAAAAAAUUAGAGUGUUCAAAGCAGGCUUAUGCCGUUGAAUACAUUAGCAUGGAAUAAUAAGAUAGGACCCUGGUACUAUUUUGUUGGUUUGCGUACCUAGGUAAUGAUUAAUAGGGACAGUUGGGGGUAUUUGUAUUCCGUUGUCAGAGGUGAAAUUCUUGGAUUUACGGAAGACAAACCACUGCGAAAGCAUUUACCAAGGAUGUUUUCAUCA
rnacentral:rRNA from 1 species